UCGGACCAGGCCCGGGCCGUGGGGAGAAGGCAAACUCAGGGCGUGGGCCAGGCUGGAUCAGGGCAGGGGUUGCCCCUUGCCACAGGGUGGGCAGGCGGCCUCCAGGGAGGAAGGUGUGUCUGGGGCUGACGAGGGAGCAUGCAGAGGUCCUGGGGGGAGGCUGGUGUGGCGACUUGAGAGACACAAGGAGCCGAGAUGCCGCAGGAGGGCAGGGCAUGAAACCACAUGGGUCAUGGUGAGGAUGGUGGCCUUUAUUCUGAGCAAAGUAGGGAGUUACUAGCAGAUUUUGUGCGAGAAAUGGAAUCAUUUUCACAGCAUCACUCUGCUGUGCUGGAAACGGCUGUCGGGAGGUUUGUGAGCAGGAAGGACGGGAUACUCAUGAGGAAGAAGGCAGGCAACUGCCGGAGGGGGCUGCUACUUUUCAUGGUUUGAGUUGAAGGAGUGGGCCUUGCAUAAUGGUGCGCACCUGUAAUCCCAGAAUCUUGGUAGGGCAAGGCGGGAGGAUCGCUUGAGACUGGGAGGUCAAGGUUGCGGUGAGCUGUGAUUGCACCACUGCACCCCAGCCAGGGCAACAGAGGGAGACACUGUGUCAAUCAACUAAUCAAUUAAUAAGAGUGGCGGACGGCUUGGAUGUGGAGAGCAAGAGAAGAAAAAGUCAAUGGAGUGGAAUUGCCGGGUCACACGCUGGGAAGAACCCAAUGUUUGUGUCCUCCCAAAAUGCACAAGUCAAAAUCCCAACCCUCAAGAUGAUGGGAUUAGGAGGCGAGGCCUUGGAAGGUGAGGAGGUCGUGAGGGUGAAGCCUCACGAAUGGGAAUCGUGCCCCCAUUAAAGAGGCCUCAGAGAGCUCCCUCGCCUCUUCUUCCACAUGAGGACCCAGUGAGAAGGCGCCGGAUAUGAGCCAGGAAGGGGACUUCGGAGGACAGCAAAUCUGCCACACCUCCAUCUAGAACUUCCAGCCCCCAGAAGUGUGAGCAAAAAGUGUCCGCUGUUUAUAAGCCACCCAGGCUGUGGCAUUUUUGUUACAGUCCAGAUGGGCUAUGACAUACAGGAAUUCUGUUUCACCCUCUGAGGACCUGCCAGGCUAUUUUACAAAGUGGCUGCACCAUUUCACGUUCCCACCAGCAUUGCGUGCAGGCUCCCAGGCAGAGACACUGCUUCUCUCUCCUGGGAACUGUCACCUACAGCAGGCACCAACCUGGGCAGCAGUCGGCUGGAGAACCACGUCAUCAAUGAGCUUCCGGGGAAGGAGUGGAGACAGAUGAGCCUGCAGUGUGGUCAUUGCCAGGACUGAGCCAGCACCGGGAAGCUGCGGGAGCCACUGGCUGGGGGCGGCAGGGACUGCCCCAGACUCACAGGGAGAGGGGUGUUCACCAAGGGCUUCUAGGGAGAGGCCACGCCGUGGAAGAGUGAAACCCAGCAGGCCACAGGACGGAGCAGCCAGCAUGGACUCAGCUCUGUCUAUAUGGGUCCUGAGUCCCGUUCCCACGUGAUAACCAGUGACUACACUGACAGACACAAUUUUAGCUAAGAGCAAGAUGUUUGCAGGGGUAGACUGUGCAGUCUUCCCAUGGGAAUGUGUGGAGCUGCCGUGGGGUUCUUUGGAAAUAGGACAAGUGCCACGGGGACCCGUUACCUCUGAGGACCCCUAACUAUGAAGCUAUUAACCCUGUAACGGACUUGGCUAACAACUUGAGCAAAGCACUCAGACCUGACUCCCAGCAGAGCAGCUCAGCCAGGCUGAGAGCAGGGGAUUCGGGGGGCUCCUAGACAGGGGUGUGAGUCCAGUUUCCCCAUCACCACAGGCUGAACUGUGUUUCCUCAAAAAAGAGAUGUUGAAGUCCUAACCCCUAGGACCUAAGGAUGAGGGCUUAUUUGGAAAUAGGGUCUUUGCCGAUGUAAUCGAGCUGAGGUUGUAAGCGUGGCCCUGUCCAAUAGGACCGGUGUCCUAUUAAGAUGAGAAGAGAGAGACACCGGGAGGGUGUCAAGUGCAGGCGCAGAGGCCCGGGGAGGGGACGGACGGCUGUGCAGCAACAGAGGUGAAGAAGGAGCAAGGCGCCUGCGAGCCCCGGAACACGGAGGACUGCCAGCAGCCCUGGGGUGGGAGGGGCAGGAGGGCCCUCCCCAGAACCCUCGGCCCACGUCCUGACUUCAGAUUGUGGCCGCAGAGCCAGCGAGAAGAAAGCUCUGCUGUUGGCGCCAUGUCGGUGCUGCUGUGUGAAAGCAGCCGCAGGAAGCAAACACGCCCGUGUUGAUGACUUCGCUGGGACAAUAAACCGAGCAAAGAUACUUCCAAAUCUUCAACACCUGUCCAGUAUUCCCAUUAGAAAGCAACCCCAAAUAAAACAACACGAAGGCCGGAGGAGCACGCCAGGUCUGUCACACUGUAGACUGGAGGUGGGCCUGGGGACACACCAGAGCCUGUGGCCCCCACCCUGAGCACCAGGGCACCAGAGGGCAACGCCAUCUCAGGCCUGGCUUUCCUGCAUUCCCUACAUGCUGCUGCCAACCACACAAGACAGCUGAUUCCAUUUACACCCAAAUCCUUCGCCACAGCAUGGGGUGACAGCAGGCCACCAACUUCACAGGCAGACCCUCACCCCUACGGCCUCAGAGUGGACGGCUCCCGGGAUGAUUCCUCACUCCGUGAAGCUGUUGGCGGAGAAUGUUACACGGCAGCAUCACCACCCACAGGCCUCCUCCCAGCUACUAGAUGCCAGCCACCUUUCUUUACGAAUAAAAUACGUUAAUUAAAUAUUGCAUCUAAAUAAGUGAUCUGGGUUGGCUCUGUGUCCCCACCCAAAUCUCAUCUCGAAUUGUAAUCCCCACAUGUCAAGAGAGGGACGUGGUGGGGGGUGAUUGGACCGUGGGGGUGGUUUCCCCCAGGCUGUUCUCAUGAUAGUGAGUUCUCAUGAUACAGCUGAUGGUUUUAAAGUGUGGCACUUCCUUACCUUCUCACCACCUUGUGAAGGUGCCU
rnacentral:lncRNA from 10 species